CUGGAUACAAGGGCUUUAUCAGAUAUAUGAUUUGCAAAUAUUUUCUUUUAGUUUGUGGCUUGUCCUUUAAUUUUCUUAAUGAUAUCCUUUGAAGCACAAAAUUUUUGAUUUUGAUGAAUUCCAAUUUAUCAUUUUUAAAAGUGAUCCUGCUUUUGGUACUAUCUAAGAGCUCUUUGCUUAACCCAAGGUCAUGCAGGUUUUUAUCUAGAAGUUUCAUAGUUUUAGGUUUUACAUUUAUAUCUACUGUGAUCCAUUUUGAGUUAAUUUUUAUGUAUACUGUGAAGUGAGGGUCUAAGUUUUCUUUGUUACAUAUAGAUAAUCCGAUUGUGUCAGUACCAUUGGCUGAAAAGACUGUCUUUCCCUAUUGAAUUGUUUUGGCAAAUUUAUUGAUAAUCAAUUGAUCAUAAAUUUAAUGCUUAUUUCUAGCAUGUGAAUUAUGUUCUCUUGUUCUUAUCCUUAUAGCAAUACCACUCUGUAGCUUUAUAGUAAGUUUUGAGUUCAGGUAGUAUAAACCAUCCAGCUUUGUUCUUUUCUUUCAAAAUUAUUUUACCUAUGCUAGGUCCCUUGUAUUUUCAUAUGAAUUUUAGGAUUAUUUGAUCCUUGUUGGUGCUGCUCACCAUGCCCAUUGCACCAUGUGCAGGCCAUAGUAGGAACUAUCUACAUCUGAAAAAAACUUUUCCGUGGAACUGGGGUUUUUAUUCUCCAGAUUUUCAAAUAACUUAUCUAGCAAUUUUUGAAAACUUCCUCUAUUUGCUUGAGGGCUAUCCAUUUCUUAGAUGCUGCUCUGUGGGUUCCUCGAUUACUGUGCUGAGGUGACCAGGGAAAGUUCAGAAACUAGGCCCUGUUUCCCCAAGCUGUCUCCCAAGCUGGGAACAAGGUACAUCCCCUCCUGCUCCCAGCUAGUGGCUCAGGGAGCUCUUCCCACUUAGUGGCUCAGGAUCUCUGUGGAGAGCAGGUGGUCUAGAAGCACUUGCCCCUCACCCUGGGGCACCGCCAUCCACCAUUUUCCAUCCUGGGUCGUCUCUCUUGAAUCUGCAGGACAGUGUUGGUUAUGAGGACCCAGUGGCAGAGGUUGGGCUGGACCAGCAUGUGGCAGAGCUGUAGCUUAACUAGGGACGUGUCCAGAAGUGACUGUCGUUGCAGAUUAUAGGAAGGGACAGUCUCAAAGCUGAUCAGGGCUCCUUCCAUGUCUUCCUUGUAGUCCACGCAUUUCCUCUUUAAUCCUUGAGCAAACAUUGUGUCGUGUGUCAUGACGGUUGCCUGCCCAGCCCAGUCCACUGUCAUCGUCCCACUCACCACCACUGAGUAGGGUGUGACAUCUGGCCAGCACAGGGUGGGGAAGAGCUAUUCAGAUUUUGUAUUUCUUGUUAAGCCUGUUUUGGAAAUUUAUGUUUUUUUCUAGGAAUUUGUCUAUUUUGUCCACGUUAUCUAAUAUGUUGACAUAAAAUUGUUCAUAGUAGUCCCUUAAAAUCCUUUCAAUUUUUUUAGUGUCAGUAGUGAUGUCCUCUCUUUCAUUCCUAAUUUUGGUAACCUAUCUUCUUUUUUUGUUUUGUUUAGUUAGUGUACUUAAAGAUUUGUCAAUUUUGUUAAUCUGUUUAAAAUACAUACUUUUAUCUUGAUUUUCUUUAUUGUUGUCAUUUUCCAUUUCCUUUAUUUGUACUAUAGUUUCUAACUUCCUCCCUAUUUCUUUUUUUCUACUUGCUUUGAGUUUACUUUUUGAGAUGGAAGCUUAAGUUACUGGGUUGAAACCAUUAUUUUUUCUAAUAUAGAUUUUUAAAGCUAUAAAUUGCCCCCCCUUUACUACUUUAGCUGUACCACGUAAAUUUUGGUAUGCUUUGUUCCUUUUUAUUCAAUUAAAACUAUCUUAAUUUCCCAUUUGAUCUGUUGUUUGAUCAUGGAUUGUUUAGAAGUAUGUUGUCUAAUUUCCGAAUGUGGAGAUUUCUCAAAUUUGUUUCUGCUGUUGAUUUCUAAUUUAAUUUCAUUGUGGCUGGAAAACACACUUUGUAUGAGUUCAGUUAUUUUAAUUUGUUAGGAUUUAUUUUAUGGAUUAGCAUAUGAUGUAUCUUGAACAAUUUUUCAUAUGUGCUUGGGAAGAACAUGUAUUCUGAUAGUAAUAGGUUACAGUAUUCUAUAAAUGUCAGUUAGGGCAGUUGGUUGAUGUGUUUGUUGAAGUCUUUUAUAUCCUCACUGCUUUUCUGUUUAGAUUUUCUGUCAAUUAUUGAGAAUGGGGUAUUGAAAUCUUUAAAUAUUGUUGAAUUGUUAUUUCUUCUUUUAAUUCUUUCAGGUUUUGCUUUAUGUAUUUUAGAGUGCUGUUGUUAGCCUUGCAGUCUCAUCCUACUCAAGUGUGGCUCUGUAUCCAACAACAGUCUUGGAGAUCUCGUGAAGAUUCCUGAAACUUUUGCUCUGCAGGAUACAUUCCUUUGUGGUUAUGUGCCCUGAAAACUCCAGCCUCCGCCUCUUCACUUAAGUGAAACCACUACUAUGCUUGGAUUCCCCUCUUACGCAAUGGUCUACCAAGUGACUGCAAACAGAAAUCUAAGGGAAUUUCAGGAGUCACCUCAUUUAUUUUCCUUUUUUCAGCGAUUGUAGUAGUACUGUACCACCUGUCAGACAAUGUGUGAGAAUGGUUGUUUCAUACAUUUUGUCCAAUUCUUUCAUUGUUACAGGAGCUUCCAUUACUUUUCAAACAGUAAUGCAGUUGCAAUUGCCUCUCCUUUUCUUCACUAUGUGUUUAUCUCUGGCAGUUUGAGCCAAGAGAGGGCAUGGAGAAGUACAGUGACUAGAGAGCACUUCUGUUGAGGCUCAUUCAUUGACCCCUACCCCAGUGCUUUGUGAAUGUGUGCUGCAGAUGUCAUACAGCAUCACAGCUUCUUCUCUAAUUUAUGAGCCAGAAAUUUUUUUUUUGUAUUUUCAUUGUAUUACCUGCUUGGUUGCAAGAGGAUGAUGAGGAGGACUGCUAUAGGAUAAAUUUGUUUUUAUAGAGCAAUUUCUCGUGGGUCACGAGGGAUAGUACCCCGUUUUCCUCAUUGAUGUUGGCUUGAUCAUCUGAGUCAGUGGGGUCAUUGUGGAAACAUAUGGAAUCCUUUAUGCUUUUUCUCAGGCUGCUUCUGUUGCAUGAAAUAAAGCCAGAGUUGAUUGUGAA